rnacentral:ncRNA from 1 species
CUCUUAUCCAGAGUGGCGGAGGGACUGGCCCGAUGAUGCCCGGCAACCAACGAACGUCCUGUUCGAGAAGGUGCCAAUUCCUGCAGAGCGUAAGCCCUGGCAGAUGAGAG